CCCUUAGAUGUUCUGGGCCGCACGCGCGCUACACUGAUGCAUUCAACGAGCCUAUCCUUGACCGACAGGUCCGGGUAAUCUUUGAAUCUGCAUCGUGACGGGGAUAGAUUAUUGCAAUUAUUAAUCUUCAACGAGGAAUGCCUAGUAGGCGCAAGUCAUCAGCUUGCGUCGAUUACGUCCCUGCCCUUUGUACACACCGCCCGUCGCUCCUACCGAUUGAGUGUUCCGGUGAGGCUUUGGGAGAAUGGCCUCAACAUGAGUUUAUCGUGUUUUGCCGUUUGAACUUAGUCAAACCUUAUCACUUAGAGGAAGGAGAAGUCGUAACA
rnacentral:rRNA from 1 species